rnacentral:misc_RNA from 1 species
AACGCACGAGACCUGCGGACCUGCGGAAGGAUCAUUAAUGAGAAGCUGCCCCUCGUGGGUAGACCUCCCACCCUCUGUGAACUUACCUUUGUUGCUUUGGCAGGCCCGUCCUCUGGACCGCCGGCUUCGGCUGGCCCGUGCCUGCCAGAGGAUUCCAAACCCUGUCUGUCAGUGUUGUCUGAGUCUAUAUGAAAUCGUUAAAACUUUCAGCAACGGAUCUCUAGAUCGGAAGAGCACACG